rnacentral:rRNA from 1 species
AACGUAGGUGACAAGCGUUAUCCGGAUUUACUGGGCGUAAAGCGCGUUCAGGCGGUUUGGCAAGUCGGGGCAUGAAAAUCUCCUGGCUCAACCAGGAGGGGCUGUCCGAUACUUCCAGACUUGAGGGCAGUAGAGGGUGGUGGAAUUCCUGGUGUAGCGGUGAAAUGCGCAGAUAUCAGGAGGAACACCGAUGGCGAAGGCAGGUCUCUGGGCCACUACUGACGCUGAGAAGCGAAAGCAUGGGGAGCGAACAGG